CAGUAGCCGCGGUAAUACGAAGGGUGCAAGCGUUACUCGGAAUUACUGGGCGUAAAGCGUGCGUAGGUGGUGGUUUAAGUCCGUCGUGAAAGCCCUGGGCUCAACCUGGGAAUUGCAGUGGAUACUGGGUCACUAGAGUGUGGUAGAGGAUAGUGGAAUUUCCGGUGUAGCAGUGAAAUGCGUAGAGAUCGGAAGGAACAUCUGUGGCGAAGGCGACUAUCUGGGCCAACACUGACACUGAGGCACGAAAGCGUGGGGAGCAAACAGGAUUAGAUACCCGCGUAGUCCCUGUCUCUUAUAC
rnacentral:rRNA from 1 species